UUGGGUAGGGGAGCGUUCUGUAAGCCUGCGAAGGUGGCCUGUGAGGGGUGCUGGAGGUAUCAGAAGUGCGAAUGCUGACAUAAGUAACGAUAAAGCGGGUGAAAAGCCCGCUCGCCGGAAGACCAAGGGUUCCUGUCCAACGUUAAUCGGGGCAGGGUGAGUCGACCCCUAAGGCGAGGCCGAAAGGCGUAGUCGAUGGGAAACGGGUUAAUAUUCCCGUACUUGGUGUUACUGCGAAGGGGGGACGGAGAAGGCUAUGUUGGCCGGGCGACGGUUGUCCCGGUUUAAGCGUGUAGGUGUGUGUUCCAGGUAAAUCCGGUUCACUUUAACACUGAGGCGUGAUGACGAGGCACUACGGUGUUGAAGCAACAAAUGCCCUGCUUCCAGGAAAAGCCUCUAAGCAUCAGGUAACAUCAAAUCGUACCCCAAACCGACACAGGUGGUCAGGUAGAGAAUACCAAGGCGCUUGAGAGAACUCGGGUGAAGGAACUAGGCAAAAUGGUGCCGUAACUUCGGGAGAAGGCACGCUGACACGUAGGUGAAGUGAUUUACUCAUGGAGCUGAAGUCAGUCGAAGAUACCAGCUGGCUGCAACUGUUUAUUAAAAACACAGCACUGUGCAAACACGAAAGUGGACGUAUACGGUGUGACGCCUGCCCGGUGCCGGAAGGUUAAUUGAUGGGGUCAGCGCAAGCGAAGCUCCUGAUCGAAGCCCCGGUAAACGGCGGCCGUAACUAUAACGGUCCUAAGGUAGCGAAAUUCCUUGUCGGGUAAGUUCCGACCUGCACGAAUGGCGUAAUGAUGGCCAGGCUGUCUCCACCCGAGACUCAGUGAAAUUGAACUCGCUGUGAAGAUGCAGUGUACCCGCGGCAAGACGGAAAGACCCCGUGAACCUUUACUAUAGCUUGACACUGAACAUUGAGCCUUGAUGUGUAGGAUAGGUGGGAGGCUUUGAAGCGUGGACGCCAGUCUGCGUGGAGCCGACCUUGAAAUACCACCCUUUAAUGUUUGAUGUUCUAACGUGGACCCGUGAUCCGGGUUGCGGACAGUGUCUGGUGGGUAGUUUGACUGGGGCGGUCUCCUCCUAAAGAGUAACGGAGGAGCACGAAGGUUGGCUAAUCCUGGUCGGACAUCAGGAGGUUAGUGCAAUGGCAUAAGCCAGCUUGACUGCGAGCGUGACGGCGCGAGCAGGUGCGAAAGCAGGUCAUAGUGAUCCGGUGGUUCUGAAUGGAAGGGCCAUCGCUCAACGGAUAAAAGGUACUCCGGGGAUAACAGGCUGAUACCGCCCAAGAGUUCAUAUCGACGGCGGUGUUUGGCACCUCGAUGUCGGCUCAUCACAUCCUGGGGCUGAAGUAGGUCCCAAGGGUAUGGCUGUUCGCCAUUUAAAGUGGUACGCGAGCUGGGUUUAGAACGUCGUGAGACAGUUCGGUCCCUAUCUGCCGUGGGCGCUGGAGAACUGAGGGGGGCUGCUCCUAGUACGAGAGGACCGGAGUGGACGCAUCACUGGUGUUCGGGUUGUCAUGCCAAUGGCACUGCCCGGUAGCUAAAUGCGGAAGAGAUAAGUGCUGAAAGCAUCUAAGCACGAAACUUGCCCCGAG
rnacentral:rRNA from 1 species